UGCUUGAUUUAUUAGAAGGUCGACCAAUUUAUACACAGUAGUAGUGCACUUUAGCGGAACCAGGUCAAAAUGGACGGGAAAAUUAUACACUAACUGGCCAUACUGACAAGGUUUGCGCCGUCGCUUUCUCCACAUGGUAGACAUUUUGCUUCCGCGGGCGAGGAUCGACAGUUGCUCGUUUGGAAAUCUAAUUUGCAUACAUUUGAUGCCAAUAGCUUUCGCAACAAACAAGCCAGUUCUCAAAGAAUCCAAAUUGAUUUUAGUCAUGCAACAGCUCCACAUAACUCCGCCAUAGACACACCAGUUGCUGGAGUACCAAAAAAGCUGUGAUGACAGUAUUUUAAUUGAUCCACGACAAUCGGUGGCAUGUGGAAUGCGUGAUGGAAAUUUUCUGGUGCUUGAUAGACAAUAUACUACAAGAGUGAAACGCUACAAGUGAAACGCUGUGAUACUAAUUUUUCUUAAAUUUCCAUCUUUUAUUUGCAGUUACAUUAAGAAGCUAAUAGAGGACAAAGCUGUUGGUGACGAAGGUGUCGAGUUACUGAAGUACUGCAACUGGGAAAAUCCACAUUUCGCACGUGCCUCACUCGUAUGGAAUAGUAGCUUAUGUCAGUAUAAGGCGGCAUUCGCAGUAUAAUGCGGCAUUCGCAGUAUAAUGCGGUAUUCGCAGCAUACCUUCACUGGCGCCGAGCCGUUGAAGAAGUUUUGGCAAAUAAACGUGCAAGAAAUAUUUCCGAUACUAGCACGUCCAUAUUCUUGUUAAGGGUCAUCGAAAAAUUCCUUGUGUUGU